rnacentral:misc_RNA from 1 species
AAAGUCGUAACAAGGUUUCCGUAGGUGAACCUGCGGAAGGAUCAUUACAAGUAUUGUGUUGUGGUUAGGCGAGGUAUUAUAGAGUGUGGGUGUGAGUGGUAGGUGUGGGUGGGUUCGCCCGCUAAUGCUUAGUACUCUACUCAAUGCUCAAUACUAAACCGCUACUACUACCUUCAUGCGUGUUGUGUUUGACAGAGUCAUAUGUGAGUAAACAGUUAAAACUUUUAACAAUGGAUCUCUUGGUUCUC